rnacentral:rRNA from 1 species
GAUGAACGCUGGCGGCGUGCCUAAUACAUGCAAGUCGAGCGAACAGACGAGGAGCUUGCUCCUCUGACGUUAGCGGCGGACGGGUGAGUAACACGUGGAUAACCUACCUAUAAGACUGGGAUAACUUCGGGAAACCGGAGCUAAUACCGGAUAAUAUAUUGAACCGCAUGGUUCAAUAGUGAAAGACGGUUUUGCUGUCACUUAUAGAUGGAUCCGCGCCGCAUUAGCUAGUUGGUAAGGUAACGGCUUACCAAGGCAACGAUGCGUAGCCGACCUGAGAGGGUGAUCGGCCACACGGGAACUGAGACACGGUCCAGACCCCUACGGGAGGCAGCAGUAGGGAAUCUUCCGCAAUGGGCGAAAGCCUGAGGGAGCAACGCCGCGGGAGGGAAGAAGGUCUUCGGAUCGUAAAACUCUUUUAUUAGGGAAAAAAAAAUGUGAAAGAAACUAUGCACGUUUUGACGGUACCUAAUCAAAAAGCCACGGCUAACUACGUG